rnacentral:rRNA from 1 species
AUUACCUCAGUAACGGCGAGUGAAGCGGUAACAGCUCAAAUUUGAAAUCUGGCUCUUUCAGGGUCCGAGUUGUAAUUUGUAGAAGAUGCUUUGGGCAUUGCUCCGGUCUAAGUUCCUUGGAACAGGACGUCAUAGAGGGUGAGAAUCCCGUAUGUGACUGGUGGCAUUUGUCCGUGUAAAGCUCUUUCGACGAGUCGAGUUGUUUGGGAAUGCAGCUCAAAAUGGGUGGUAUAUUUCAUCUAAAGCUAAAUAUUGGCCAGAGACCGAUAGCGCACAAGUAGAGUGAUCGAAAGAUGAAAAGCACUUUGGAAAGAGAGUUAAACAGUACGUGAAAUUGUUGAAAGGGAAGCGCUUGCAACCAGACUUGCAGGUCGUUGAUCAUCCGGGGUUCUCCCCGGUGCACUCGGCGGCUUUCAGGCCAGCAUCGGUUUGAGUGGUGGGAUAAAGGCCUUGGGAAUGUGGCUCCUCUCGGGGAGUGUUAUAGCCCAAGGUGCAAUGCCGCCUAUUCGGACCGAGGACCGCGCUUCGGCUAGGAUGCUGGCGUAAUGGUUGUAAGCGACCCGUCUUGAAACACGGACCAAGGAGUCUAACAUCUAUGCGAGUGUUUGGGUGUCAAACCCAUACGCGUAAUUAACGUGAACGGAGGUAAGAACCCUUAAGGGUGCAUUAUCGACCGAUCCUGAUGUCUUCGGAUGGAUUUGAGUAAGAGCAUAGCUGUUGGGACCCGAAAGAUGGUGAACUAUGCCUGAAUAGGGUGAAGCCAGAGGAAACUCUGGUGGAGGCUCGCAGCGGUUCUGACGUGCAAAUCGAUCGUCAAAUUUGGGUAUAGGGGCG